GGGAGACAGGGGGAAGAGGAGAAGACCGCAAAAAAGAAAGAUCCAAAAAGAGCAAAAAUCUCGGGAGGAUAUCAACCAGAACCAGGAAAACAUCAGCUACAGGUUUGAUGACUUUGACGCGAUGCCAUGAUGAGGCUAUAGAGAGAGGACAUCAGGGACUCUCUGUGGAGGAGCAGGGCAAUGGCAGAGACAUCACCGCCAUCCUAUCACGAGGACGG